rnacentral:sRNA from 1 species
UAGUUGGGAUCCAGGGGCUUCCUUGGCG